rnacentral:rRNA from 1 species
GACCGUAGGGGGGUUCGUUUCUCCCCUUUACAUUGGCCCAAGUGGGAUUAGCUAGUUGGGUGAGGUAAUGGCUCACCAAGGCGACGAUCCCUAGCUGGUUUGAGAGGAUGAUCAGCCACACUGGGACUGAGACACGGCCCAGACUCCUACGGGAGGCAGCAGUGGGGAAUAUUGCACAAUGGGCGCAAGCCUGAUGCAGCCAUGCCGCGUGUGUGAAGAAGGCCUUCGGGUUGUAAAGCACUUUCAGUCAGGAGGAAAGGUUAGUAGUUAAUACCUGCUAGCUGUGACGUUACUGACAGAAGAAGCACCGGCUAACUCCGUGCCAGCAGCCGCGGUAAUACGGAGGGUGCGAGCGUUAAUCGGAAUUACUGGGCGUAAAGCGUACGCAGGCGGUUUGUUAAGCGAGAUGUGAAAGCCCCGGGCUCAACCUGGGAACUGCAUUUCGAACUGGCAAACUAGAGUGUGAUAGAGGGUGGUAGAAUUUCAGGUGUAGCGGUGAAAUGCGUAGAGAUCUGAAGGAAUACCGAUGGCGAAGGCAGCCACCUGGGUCAACACUGACGCUCAUGUACGAAAGCGUGGGGAGCAAACGGGAUUAGAUACCCCGGUAGUCCACGCCGUAAACGAUGUCUACUAAAAGCUCGGAACCUCGGUUCUGUUUUUCAAAGCUAACGCAUUUAAGUAGUACCGCCUGGGGGAGUACGGCCGCAAGGUUAAAACUCAAAUGAAUUGACGGGGGCCCGCGCAAGCGGUGGAGGCAUUGUGGUUUAAUUCGAUGCAACGCGAAAACCUUACCUACACUUGACAUACCAAAAAAC